AGUGAACGCUGGCGGUAGGCCUAACACAUGCAAGUCGAACGGCAGCACAGUAAGAGCUUGCUCUUACGGGUGGCGAGUGGCGGACGGGUGAGGAAUACAUCGGAAUCUACUUUUUCGUGGGGGAUAACGUAGGGAGACUUACGCUAAUACCGCAUACGACCUACGGGUGAAAGCAGGGGAUCUUCGGACCUUGCGCGAUUGAAUGAGCCGAUGUCGGAUUAGCUAGUUGGCGGGGUAAAGGCCCACCAAGGCGACGAUCCGUAGCUGGUCUGAGAGGAUGAUCAGCCACACUGGAACUGAGACACGGUCCAGACUCCUACGGGAGGCAGCAGUGGGGAAUAUUGGACAAUGGGCGCAAGCCUGAUCCAGCCAUACCGCGUGGGUGAAGAAGGCCUUCGGGUUGUAAAGCCCUUUUGUUGGGAAAGAAAAGCAGCAGGUUAAGACCCCGCUGUUCUGACGGUACCCAAAGAAUAAGCACCGGCUAACUUCGU
rnacentral:rRNA from 1 species